rnacentral:rRNA from 1 species
CCUACGGGCGGCAGCAGUGAGGAAUAUUGGUCAAUGGGCGGGAGCCUGAACCAGCCAAGUCGCGUGAGGGAAGACGGUCCUAUGGAUUGUAAACCUCUUUAGGCGGGGAGCAAUGCCGGGCACGCGUGCCCGGAGGGAGAGUACCCGCAGAAUAAGCAUCGGCUAACUCCGUGCCAGCAGCCGCGGUAAUACGGAGGAUCCGAGCGUUAUCCGGAUUUAUUGGGUUUAAAGGGAGCGUAGGUGGAUUGUUAAGUCAGUUGUGAAAGUUUGCGGCUCAACCGUAAAAUUGCAGUUGAAACUGGCAGUCUUGAGUACAGUAGAGGUGGGCGGAAUUCGUGGUGUAGCGGUGAAAUGCAUAGAUAUCACGCAGAACUCCGAUUGCGAAGGCAGCAUACCGGCGCGCAACUGACGCUCAUGCACGAAAGCGUGGGUAUCGAACAGGAUUAGAUACCCGAGUAGUC